rnacentral:rRNA from 1 species
GACGAGGGAUCCUAGCGUUGUUCGGAAUCAUUGGGCGUAAAGCGGGUGCAGGUGGCUUUGUAAGUCAGGUGUGAAAGCCCAGGGCUUAACCCUGGAAGUGCAUUUGAAACUACAAAGCUUGAGUGCUGGAGAAGUCACUAGAAUUCCUGGUGUAGUGGUGAAAUACGUAGAUAUCAGGAGGAACAUCAGAGGCGAAGGCGGGUGACUAGCCAGACACUGACACUCAGGCCCGAAAGCGUGGGGAUCAAACAGG